AACUAAGCUGGUUGUGGAUAGUCAUGU
rnacentral:piRNA from 1 species